GAUGAACGCUGGCGGCGUGCCUAAUACAUGCAAGUCGAGCGAACAGACGAGGAGCUUGCUCCUCUGCCGUUAGCGGCGGACGGGUGAGUAACACGUGGAUAACCUACCUAUAAGACUGGGAUAACUUCGGGAAACCGGAGCUAAUACCGGAUAACAUAUUGAACCGCAUGGUUUAUUAUUGAAAGACGGUUUUGCUUGCCCCUAUAGAUGGAUCCGCGCCGCAUUAGCUAGUUGGUAAGGUAACGGCUUACCAAGGCAACGAUGCGUAGCCGACCUGAGAGGGUGAUCGGCAACACUGGAACUGAGACACGGUCCAGACUCCUACGGGAGGCAGCAGUAGGGAAUCUUCCGCAAUGGGCGAAAGCCUGACGGAGCAACGCCGCGUGAGUGAUGAAGGUCUUCGGAUCGUAAAACUCUGUUAUUAGGGAAGAACAAAUGUGUAAGUAACUAUGCACGUCUUGACGGUACCUAAUCAGAAAGCCACGGCUAACUACGUG
rnacentral:rRNA from 1 species